UACGUAGGGUGCAAGCGCUGUCCGGAAUUAUUGGGCGUAAAGAGCUUGUAGGCGGUUUGUCGCGUCUGCUGUGAAAUUUCGGGGCUCAACCCCGAACUUGCAGUGGGUACGGGCAGACUAGAGUGUGGUAGGGGAGACUGGAAUUCCUGGUGUAGCGGUGAAAUGCGCAGAUAUCAGGAGGAACACCGAUGGCGAAGGCAGGUCUCUGGGCCACUACUGACGCUGAGAAGCGAAAGCAUGGGGAGCGAACAGG
rnacentral:rRNA from 1 species